rnacentral:rRNA from 1 species
GAUGAACGCUGGCGGCGUGCCUAAUACAUGCAAGUCGAGCGAACAGACGAGGAGCUUGCUCCUCUGACGUUAGCGGCGGACGGGUGAGUAACACGUGGAUAACCUACCUAUAAGACUGGGAUAACUUCGGGAAACCGGAGCUAAUACCGGAUAAUAUAUUGAACCGCAUGGUUCAAUAGUGAAAGACGGUUUUGCUGUCACUUAUAGAUGGAUCCGCGCCGCAUUAGCUAGUUGGUAAGGUAACAGCUUACCAAGGCAACGAUGCGUAGCCGACCUGAGAGGGUGAUCGGCCACACUGGAACUGAGACACGGUCCAGACUCCUACGGGAGGCAGCAGUAGGGAAUCUUCCGCAAUGGGCGAAAGCCUGACGGAGCAACGCCGCGUGAGUGAUGAAGGUCUUCGGAUCGUAAAACUCUGUUAUUAGGGAAGAACAAAUGUGUAAGUAACUAUGCACGUCCUGACGGUACCUAAUCAGAAAGCCACGGCUAACUACGUG